rnacentral:rRNA from 1 species
UACGUAGGGGGCAAGCGUUGUCCGGAAUCAUUGGGCGUAAAGCGCGUGUAGGCGGCUCGAUAAGUCUGCUGUGAAAGUCCAGGGCUCAACCCUGGGAUGCCGGUGGAUACUGUCGAGCUCGAGUCCGGAAGAAGCGAGUGGAAUUCCUGGUGUAGCGGUGAAAUGCGCAGAUAUCAGGAGGAACACCAAUGGCGAAGGCAGCUCGCUGGGACGUGACUGACGCUGAGACGCGAAAGCGUGGGGAGCAAACAGG